rnacentral:ncRNA from 1 species
ACAAAAACUCCGAGCUGAAUGACCUAAAGCAAAGGCUAUGGUCAUUCAGCCGGGGUGCAGCCGGAAACAGCUGCGCCUUCCGUUUUGAAAAGGAGUCAAUUAU